GGUUCUCGUACGAACACCGAAGUUAAGCAACGUCGAACCUGGACAGUACCUAGAUGCUUGACCAUUUGGAAAUACCAGGUGUUGUAAG